UGGAGGCUUUGGUGACAUUCAACAAAGAAUGCUAUGCCUUGGAUUCGUAUGGAGGAUUUGACAUUCAACAAAGUCUGCCGCAGGUACAGUCCAGCAUCCCUUUUACAUGCUCUAACCGCAUAACAAUCGAAGAGGAAAAUUAUACAGAAACGAGGAUAUACAUUUUCCGCAGUCUACUUAUUGAAGUAAUGAUGCUUAUUGAUGCAGGAUUCUUCAAGCACCAUUUUCUGUAUUAUCUAUAUCUCAAAACAAUGUGGAUGUUUCCUUUGAAAAGGACCCGAACAUCCAGUCUUUAGAACUGCAUUAUAAUUCAUGUAAUACGUCCUUAUUGCCAUUUUCUUUUGAUGGAGUUUAUGACAAACAACAUAUCACUUCUACCUUAGUUCCAAAAAAAAAUAACUGCAGUAAGGAAGCCAUCAUCAGAAAACAAAAAAACAUGGAAAGUUAAAGGCUUUACUAGGUAGAAAAUUGGGAUAAAAUAUCUUUAAACAAGAUUUAUUUGACUGAUUGUUAAAGUGUUGCAUUUUUUUUCCUUUUAAUCUUGCAGGUUGAUAGUUGCUGCAACAGAAAUGGAUGUGAAGAGUAUAAUGAAGAUUUACUACCAAUUUUAUCAUAUUAUGCACCUUUUGCAAUUUAUCAUAAAUACCUUCAGGACAUUGAAGCAUUUGGAGCAGGUUAAGGACUUCACUCCAUGUGAGAGCAUCAUCUAAACGUUGAUGGGGAAGAUUCACAAGAACCUAAAUAUUCCUCCUAAGGACAUGUUCUACUUUGGUAUUGCAUUGGACCUUAAGCCUCCUGCAUCUGAUGUUGCUGCUAUCAAGGUGCAGCAAGAGCUCGAUUGGCUUGGCCACAUGCUUCGGCUUUUGGAUAGUCUUCUGGAAAGCAGACUUUCGAAAUACUAUUGAAUAAAGCUCAUUCUUAAAGAAAGCGACGGCUAACCUCUAACGUUGUAUUACUCGUCUCAA